ACAACAAGCUUAAUACAUGAUGAUAUAUUAAAAAAUAACACUAGAUAAAAAAAAUUGGUACAUACUGAGAUAUUAGUGUAACAAAGAAAACGAAACCAUAAGACAAAUGAGAUAAAAGAUUUGUUUAUAUACAUUAAGCUUAUAUAAAAACUAGUUCGCACACAAAAGAUUGAUUUUUUUUUUUAAAGAUUGAAAGAUAGAUGCUUAUAGCAUUUUAUUAAUAAUAAGUUGUUCAAUACAAUGAGGUACAUUGUAAUGAGUAGUGGGACUAACUAAUAAUGUGUCAACCCCAUCAAGGUGUGAGCUACCUCACGUCCUAUUUAAAAGGUUUUCCGAUUGGUACACAAUGGCCUUUACGACACUUAAUAUUAUGUGGAGGCAUUCUUGGACAAUCUUUAUCUGUUAAACAAGGACGAAGAGUCAUACCAAAAGCAUUAGAAUCACAUACUAUUAAGAUAUAAAAUAUGGAAAGAAAUAGAAUCAUAAUAUAAACAAAUUUUAGAGUUUUAUCCAUAUUUUUCCUCUCUGCAUCGAAAAAAUAGAAAACAAUUUGUCAACUUUAUAGGGUAUAAAUUUCAUGCUAUCUUAUGAUUAAUUAAUAGUUUAAUCAUUUAUGAUCUUUUAAAACCUUAAUAAGAUUAUAAUAAUUAAUAAGUACUUGUUUAAUAUAUUAGGGUGUUGUUUUUGACCAUUUAGAACAUUUUAAAAGGUGGUAAUAUGAUAAAGUUGUUAAUAAGAAGAAUUGAAUAUUAAUUAACUAACUUAUCAUGCCUUUGUUAGCCUUUCGUGAUAUUAAAGAGAAACUUAUUUUAUUCGCACCUUGCUAAAGUUAUCU
rnacentral:lncRNA from 1 species